UCGGGGGAAAGAUUUAUCGCUGAAGGAGGGGCCCGCGUCGGAUUAGGUAGUUGGUGGGGUAAUGGCCUACCAAGCCUGUGAUCCGUAGCUGGUCUGAGAGGAUGAUCAGCCACACUGGGACUGAGACACGGCCCAGACUCCUACGGGAGGCAGCAGUGGGGAAUAUUGGACAAUGGGGGCAACCCUGAUCCAGCAAUGCCGCGUGAGUGAGGAAGGCCUUAGGGUUGUAAAGCUCUUUCGCACGCGACGAUUAUGACGGUAGCGUGAGAAGAAGCCCCGGCUAACUUCGUGCCAGCAGCCGCGGUAAUACGAAGGGGGCGAGCGUUGUUCGGAUUUACUGGGCGUAAAGGGCGCGUAGGCGGCCAUCUUUGUCAGGCGUGAAAGCCCCGGGCUCAACCUGGGAACUGCGUCUGGGACGGGGUGGCUAGAGAUCCGGAGAGGAGCGUGUAAUUCCCAGUGUAGAGAUGAAAUUCGUAUAUCUUGUGAAGAACACCGGUUGCGAAAGCGGCGCUAUAGACCGAUACUGACGCUCAGGCGCGAAAGCGUGUGGAGCAUACAGGAUUAGAUACCCUGGUAGUCCACGCUGUAAACGAUCUGUGCUAGACGU
rnacentral:rRNA from 1 species